rnacentral:rRNA from 1 species
ACGAGAAAGUGGAGCAAUCCAUGAGUAAAGUGGCGACCGGGUGAGUAACACGUGACUAACCUACCUCCGAGUGGGGAAUAACUCCGGGAAACCGGGGCUAAUACCGCAUAACAUCGCAAGAUCAAAGCAGCAAUGCGCUUGGAGAGGGGGUCGCGGCUGAUUAGCUUGUUGGCGGGGUAACGGCCCACCAAGGCGAAGAUCGGUAUCCGGCCUGAGAGGGCGCACGGACACGCUGGAACUGAAACACGGUCCAGACUCCUACGGGAGGCAGCAGUGGGGAAUUUUGCGCAAUGGGGGAAACCCUGACGCAGCAACGCCGCGUGGAGGAUGAAGCCCUUUGGGGCGUAAACUCCUUUCGACUCGGAAGAUAAUGACGGUACGAGUGGAAGAAGCACCGGCUAACUCUGUGCCAGCAGCCGCGGUAAUACAGAGGGUGCGAGCGUNGUUCGGAAUUAUUGGGCGUAAAGGGCGCG